rnacentral:rRNA from 1 species
UACGGAGGGUGCGAGCGUUGUCCGGAAUCACUGGGCGUAAAGGGCGCGUAGGCGGCCUGAUAAGUAGGGGGUGAAAUCCUGCGGCUUAACCGCAGGGCUGCCUUCUAAACUGUCAGGCUAGAGCACAGUAGAGGCAGGUGGAAUUCCCGGUGUAGCGGUGGAAUGCGUAGAGAUCGGGAAGAACAUCAGUGGCGAAGGCGAUUCUCUGGACUGUAACUGACGCUGAGGCUCGAAAGCGUGGGAGCAAACAGG